AAAGAAAAGAUGAGAGGAAAGGAAGAAGAAGAAGAGAAGGAAAUCAAAUGGGAGAAAAUGAAGAUGGAAGCUCUCUUGAAAUAAAGAUUUAAAGAUUUAAGAAGAGGUUGUAUUAUGUCAAGAGAAAAAGGGAAAGUUGCAAGCUUGUGGUUGGAAGCUCUUGGUGUAUAUUUCCUUUAUUUUUGUUGUAAAGAUAAGGCUUAAGAAGCCUAGGCAUGUGCUUAUUUUAAUUGUGACCUUAUGGCUAGGAGAGCCCAAUUGUUGUAUUUAAUCAUGUGUGGUAUUUAUC